rnacentral:rRNA from 1 species
AUUGAACGCUGGCGGCAUGCCUUACACAUGCAAGUCGAACGGUAACAGGUCUUCGGAUGCUGACGAGUGGCGAACGGGUGAGUAAUACAUCGGAACGUGCCUAGUAGUGGGGGAUAACUACUCGAAAGAGUGGCUACUACCGCAUGAGAUCUACGGAUGAAAGCAGGGGAGCGCAAGACCUUGUGCUACUAGAGCGGCCGAUGGCAGAUUAGGUAGUUGGUGGGAUAAAAGCUUACCAAGCCGACGAUCUGUAGCUGGUCUGAGAGGACGAUCAGCCACACUGGGACUGAGACACGGCCCAGACUCCUACGGGAGGCAGCAGUGGGGAAUUUUGGACAAUGGGCGAAAGCCUGAUCCAGCAAUGCCGCGUGCAGGAUGAAGGCCUUCGGGUUGUAAACUGCCUUUGUACGGAACGAAAAGCCCCGGGUUAAUACCCUGGGGUCAUGACGGUACCGUAAGAAUAAGCACCGGCUAACUACGUGCCAGCCGCCGCCGUAA